UUACUGCAGGCUUUUAUUUUGAAAUAAAGUAAGGACCUUCCUGUAGCUGGAAGGUUAGGACAGGAAGUUAAGCUCAGAAACAGGAAGUGGUUAGGGAUCCCAAAGUGAGGUCAAACAGCUCAAAGGAACGGUAACAAAGGUUAAUGUGUGUUGUCGUAAGGUCAAUGUGUGAUGUCAUAAGGUCAAUGUGUGAUGUCAUCAGGUCAAUGUGUGAUGUCAUCAGGUGGAUAUUACUGUCUGAGAGUUUGUUAAAGUGAAAUGAGACAUUCAAAGAUGCAGCAGUGAGACUACAGGGAGACAUUGAGGAUGAUUAUCUAUGGAGAGCCUGAAGGGACAAA